rnacentral:tRNA from 1 species
GCCGACGUGGUGGAAUUGGUAGACACGCUAUCUUGAGGGGUAGUGGCGAAAGCUGUACCGGUUCGAGUCCGGUCGUCGGUACCA